AAAAAAAAACAGCAGAAACAGAAACAGUCUGUCUCUUUGAAGCUUCACUACUUCCAAGCCGGAUGAAAACGGGAUGGUUCCAGAGCGUAGCACGUUUUUUAGUUCUGCAACAAAAAUUCCUGCCGAAGACGCCACCAGAGACGCUUCAAGAUUCCGUUUUAUGUUGUCCUGAAGGGUCAAUGAAGAUGGUCAGUCCGGAGGCUACUGGUUUCGAGAAAAUAAAGGAAAAAACACUCUCAUAUUUAGCAAGAUGAAAUGCGCCUGAAUCAAAAUAUCUGCCGUUUUCGGACAAUAAAUUAGAGAAAAUAAAAAAAGAGCAAGUUGCAGAAGGCAAUAAAA